AUUUUGCUUUGUAUUAUAUUUUCUUUAAUAUUUCUGCUUGCAUGGGCCUGACAAUUAGUUCUCUCUCUUGUUUUUCUGCUGUCCUCAAAAACAAAGCAAAGCAAAGCGUUGUGGAGUUAGGAUUCCAAGUUGAAGGCCCAGCCCCUCCUGGGUAUUGAGUCUUGGUUUUCAUGUAUGUCAGGUAAACAUUCUACCACUGAGUUAGACCCCAGCACUUUGCCUGUUUCUUUGUUUUGAGAGAAGUUGCCCAGGCUUGCCUUCCCCUGCUGCCUCAGCCUCCCCUGGAACUGUUGUUUCAAGCCUGAGCCACCAGGCUUUUCUGUCCUUCCUGAGUCCUCCCAUAUGGUUUCAACCUCCUUACCUCCACUCACCUGUUUUCCCUCUUUCUGAAAAAUACCAAACCAAAUCAAAUAAAACAAAAGACCAAGAAAACAAAAUAAAACAAACAAACAAAAAGCUCAAAAUAAAAACAAAAAACCCCAACAAUGAUAACAAUGCCCCAUAACAGCAUCACCACAACAAAAAAUGAACACACACACACACAUACACACACAUACACACACACAUGCACACACAUGCACACACACAUACACACACAUACACACAUACAGACACAUACACACACAGACACACAGACACACACACAGACACACACAUGUACACACACACAUACACACACAUGCACACACAUAUACACACAUACACAUACAGACACACACAGACACACACACACACAUACACACAUACAGACACAUACACACACAGACACACACAGACACACACAGACACACAUACACACACACAUACACACACAUACACACACAUACACACACAUGCACACACACAUGCACACACACAUACACACACACAGACACACACACAUACACACACAUACACACACAUACACACAUAGACACACACACAUACACACAUAGACACACACACAUACACACACAGACACACACAUACACACACAUACACAUACACACACAUACACAUACACACAGACACACACACAGACACACACAUACACCUAGACACACACACACACACACACACACACACACACACACACACACCAUAGCUCUCAUUUUGUGCUGGCCAACCAUCCCAUGAAGUCUGCCCUGGGGUGUAAUUGACAUAUGCAGUGAUGCUCCAUUGUAGAAAAUUAAGUUUACUUCUCCCAGUAAACUGGCUACUCAUUGCAAUUAGCUUCUAAGUUAGGGGUAGGACUUUUUGCCCACCUCUCCUCUGUGCUAGGAUUUCCUCUGGCUUGAAGUAGUGUGGGUGUUGUACAAGUUACCAUGGUUUCUCUGAGUUCAUGUGCUAAGGCAGUUUAAAAAUACAUUGGUGGAAGUCAGUUACAAAAUAAAGGGACAAUCUCAGCGAUAGGUCUCAGAUAUGACCUGACCACAUAGAACCUUAGCUUCUUAGCUGGUAGAAACUAGGUUUCUGUUGUUCUAUACUAAUGGAUUUACCCAAUGACUACCAAAGACCUUAAGCCACAAAUAGAGGCUAACAAAUGAAUCGGGGAAGUCUAAAGCUUGGCCCCAAAUAAUUUGGCUAUAGACCUGUAACAUUCCAACCCUCCACAUCACUGAAGUUAUAGUCAGUUUAUUAGCAUCGUAGAAGGCUCAGUGUAAGGUGAGGAUUCUUGGGGCUUUUACUCACAAUAGUUUCCAAUAAAACCUUCCAUAAGUAAACUCCAGGAAAUAGGUCAGGAAGGAAAGAUGAUUCCCUUCAUUCAGAAACUAAUACCAACAAUUGACCCAGGGACUCUUGUACAGCUAAAACGCUUUUUGUAUGGCAAAGAAGAAUCUCUUGAGAAGGAAGUGCACAGAGGAAGUGUGAAUUCUUGCCAACUGCAGAUCCCGUAGAUGACUCAUGUCUAGGACACACAAAGAAGUCAAAAUAACAAAGAAAGUUUCAAAUGACCAGUUUUUAAAAAGGGCUGUGGAUCAGAGGAGGGAGUUCUCAAAAGAAUUAGAAACGGCCGAGAAAUAUAUUUUUAAAAAAGCACUCAGCAUCCUUAGCAGUGAGGGAAGUGUCUACGAAAACUGGUUACGUUGUCUUACCCGAGUUGGAAUGGCUAAGAUCAAAGGAGAAGCUGACAGCACAUGCUGGCGUGUGGAAUCAGGAUCAAACUGUAUGAGUGGAAACAGACGUGCCUUCCUUGUGGGAGUACGAAAGUCCUUGCUCUCACAAACAAUGCUGGGGAAACCAGGUCAGCCCCAGUACCUGGAGCUCUUUGGCUGAGGCUUGGCUCACUGCUACAAGUUGCCUUGUCCAUGUGUACAACAGUUCUCGUUCCUGCUUGACUGGGCCCAGUGUGGGAAGACCUGAGCUCAACUGGGCAUGAAGAGAUGACUGUGGAGUAAGACAAAGAUGGAUACGCACAAGCAAGGAGACAGACCCUGGACCAGAGUGAGGAGUCCCUGUCUCUGGAGAUGACACACUUGAUCAUUUUAUGGGAACCUGAUAUCCUGGCGCCAACAGGCAGUGCCCAGCACUAAUGGGAUAUUACAGCGUCCAGAGUUGUCCUCAGCGGCUAGCACGGAGAAAGGAUGAAGGCAAGAGCAAGAAGAUUCCUCUUUGCACAGGACAUUUGCACAUGCUGUUUCUUCUUGGGAUACCCUCUGCUCACCAGACAUUGAGAGAACGAGUGCUGUCUCUGACGCUCUUCCAACACUUGGAGAUAUCACCUGAAUAACUCAAUGGAACAUUUCCUUGAAGGUCUUACAGAGCUUAGAAGGGGCUACCCUGAUGACCUACCUCAGCUGCCAGCCUUGUAUUCUCCCUGAAGAGACAUGGCGUGAGGGCCACACCACUCUCAGAAAUGGCCCUGUGGAAGAGGUUCUUGGUCAGUGGAGACAAAACCUGGAAGGAAGAGAGGAGGGAAGUCUAUGCUUAAGGGAGAUGGCCACCAACCUGCUCAUCUUGUAAGGUUUCCUCCGCCUAUACUCCUUGCCUGCAGACUCCAAUUCUCUCAGGAUGUGACAGCUCCUGACCUGCCUUUGCUUUCUUCCCAGCUUUCUUCAGAGUCAGGGAUAGAGUUGGGAAUAUGUGGCAUGCACCCAUUCUGAUAAUCAACAACACCGGAAGGAAAGAUUUCGCAGUUCCUAGCUACAAACUCUAUUUCAGUGUCCCUAAUACUCAGAAAGUGUCCCAGAGAAAACGAUCAUGAUCAUCUGUGAAAUUAUUUCAAAGACAUUUACUUGAUGAGGGGUAAGGAUUAUACUUCUCUGUAAGACAGAUAUUUAGAACUUAGGGUUUUCUCCAGUGGAGUGAUGCUGGGUACUUAUCAAGUGUUUAUCAAACACACUGAAGAGCAGGUCCCAUGCUUUAGGAAUAAACAGUCAACGACACAAGAAGAAA